rnacentral:lncRNA from 1 species
GUAAAUCUGGAGAAAUCAUCAACAAUAACAAAUCCAUAUCUUUUGCCAGUUAGACUUGCAGUUUGAACAGGACCAAACAGAUCAAUAUGAAGAAGCUCUAAAGGUUUCUGAGUUGAGAUAAACUCAAUAGUUUUAAAACUACUUUUUACUUGUUUACCUUUAACACAUGCUUCACAGAUUUUGUCCUUUUCAAAGCUAAUCUU